CUCCUUGCGAUAACUCGUAGGAUCUACUCUCUUUGCAACUUUCCUAUGUAUCGUGUAGCAGGCGUUAAGUAGGCAUCAUGUUGUACCUUACGUCCCUGGGACUUCUUUAUCUUAUAGCUGGAAGUUUGGUACCACAGCUUUGAAUUCUGGAACGCUGCUGAAUUUCUAGCCUUUCCCAUAUCACUAGUGCUAUGCACUAAAUCGAGUCCUCAUGCCCCCAUUUGAUCUCUCGAAGCACGCCCUAACACCCUGUGUGACCGUCUCAGGAGAUGAGCUUUAUGAGGUGAUGAAGGUUAAAUGAGGUCAUAAAGGUGGAUAACCUGACCUCAUGGCCUUAUAAGAAGAGGAAAUAGCACUUAAGGCCACACUGAGAAGGUGGCCAUCGGCAAGGCAAGAAGAGGGUCCUCGCGGAAACCAACCACGCCGUGUGAGAAAAUAAAUCUCCUGCGUGUGAGCCACCCAGCCGAUGUUAUUUUGUUACUGCAACCGGAGCUGACUAAUACAACUAGUUUUGCACUCUUCAUUAGCUUCUCUUGAGUCUUGGAUGAGGAAUGAAAGCUGGGCUCUCCCCUGCUGAGCAUUUAAGAAACACAGGCUGGUUCAAAUCUGAUGCUGGUUCAAAUCUCAGGCCUUGGAGGAAACCCUUUAGAGGGAAGAGCCAACGCAGCUCCCUCCAGUGAGGAUGUGAAGGUCGCUUCUGCAAGCUGGGUUUCUAAACCAGCAUCUAACAGAAAGAUGCCUUCUCCCUUAUCAAUCCUACUCCGUCUAGCCCAGGACUGUGGAACCCUUAAGAGCAUGGAGUCAGGCAGACCUGGCAUCUAUAGCUGUGCAGCUUCGGCGACUUUCUGAACUUCCAGAAGCUUGUUUUACCAUCCAUAAAAUAGAUUGUUGUGAGGAGUAAAUCACAUAAUAAUAAACGCACAUGGUAGGUACCAAGGAAGUGGUGUUGCUCUGUGUCUGUUAUUAGGUGCUGCAGAGGCUGGGGGCUCUCUCCUUGGGUGCGGAGCAGCGAUUCGCUCUGGCCUUGCAGCUGUGCCCUCCUCCCGAGAUCCUCAUGCAGGUUAGCAAGUCCAGAUAGCACGCCGCAAGGAGCCGUGACCCCUUUAGCCCCGAAGAGGGAGUGACGCUCAGAGGGGGCAAGGACCUCGAGUCUUUCCAAAGAGCUCAAGCUUCCGCUCCCCAAAGCAGAGUAAAGGCCAUGGUGCAAGAAGCCAUUUUGCUGCUGCAGGCUUGGGACUUGACUAAUCCCAGAGCUGGGAGAAGCGGUCUAGUCCAGGCCAGGCUCAUCCAUGUGCUCGUGUCAGUUUCAGACAAAAUGACUUCAGAGCAAGGGUUAGUAUCUAACUGAGCGGGGUGAGAACUCCCCUUUGAGGUACCCACUAAGGGAAAGGGAGAACCUGAUAAUUAACCAGGAUGACUUUGGUUCUCUCUCGAGGAGUGACCUAGACGGCCAUGUCAGGUUCUCCACGGUUCCCUCUCCAGGGUUGCAGCCUGGCCUCCGGCUUUCAGACAAGUUGCACCAGGCCAAGAGACUGCAGGAGCCUCGGGGAAUGUGCCACUGGCAUUUGAGAGUACAAAAGAAAAAAAACAUUCACAAAUGAGGCUUGGUUUUCUCUCUGGCCCGGCCCCUGGGUCCCUGGACUUGCCGCCAGAGAAGACCCCCACCUGCCCCGAGGUCCCCAGGAUCCCAGCCGGCGUUUGCUGCCCGGCGGGCUGUGCUCCGAGCGCCCCGCUUGCAGGGGCUCAGUUUUCCCAGUUGGCGACAGUGUUUGCACCUGCAGCUUCGUUGAUUCGUACUACAACUGGAACUUUAAUAAGGGAACACCACAUCCCACCAGUCACUCUGCACGAAGGCAGGAGCGCCCUAAUCGCCAGAUCAGUUCGCCUGUUUACCAGGCACCUGACAGGAAGGUGGGGGGGCAGGGUGGAGAGGACAAUGGCCUGCGUGUCAGGAGCCCGGGUUGUUUCCAGCCUCACCGCAGCCUGCCCCACCUUUCCUCGCUGCGCCUCCCUCUCCAUGGAGAGACCUGGAUAAAGCCGUCCGCGCGAGCGCGCCGGGAGGAUUGCGGAGACGGUGUCUGUGCGCAGCUCCGGGGCUCUGCAACCUUGCCGAGCUUGUUAUCAUCACCACCGUUCUCACUGCUGUUAAUCCUGACUUCCCCUCCCUGUCUGUUUUGGCAUCUACAUAACCCAAGUGUUUGUGCAUGUGCCUGCGUGCUUGUGUGUGUGUUCGGGGAGGUGGGGUGGCAUUUUGUUCGGAAUAAAAGUCAACCCCUAUUCCAAGCUGGAAACCCCCUAAAGCUUGACAGAUGAA